CUGUGGGGAAAUGGUCUGCAGUCUCUCCCUGAACAGAGAGAGCUGGCAAAGCCAGAGAGAAGAAGCCAAAGGAAACAGUAGCUAGGGAUAGGACUAUACAGGGACCAGGGCUGCUUGUGACAGGCUCCUUGGGCUGGAAUCCAGUGUACAGGGUGGGCCUGGGUUCCCCUACCAGCCACUGGGAAGUGGCAUUGGAGAUGCCAGCCAGCAGGUUGGGAAAGACUGAGUUCCCUUGAAGAGGACCUUAGUGGCCAAGCCACAAAGAGGAGGCAGGAGGAGCGGGACAGCGGAGCGAGGGAAGAUGGAAGUAGCUGCUACUGGAGGGAGAGUGCAAGCUGGUGGCGCUAAUCCCCAAAAUGUCCAGCAGGAGGCACCAUGAGCUUGGUUAAAAAGAGACUCAUUUUUACCAGCUCUUCCUUGCCAUCAAUCUUGAGAAACCUGGACUCUUGAGAGGAGCAAAAGGAGCUACAUCUUUGCCAAGAGAAGUUUUCAUCGGAAAAGAGAUCUAUGAUGCGGAGUCUGCCUAGGGACAUGGUGGCACUUGAAAAUCUUGAAAUUAGACAGGAUCAGACACUACAAUAUGUACAUCUUCUUGCAAAGGCAGAAUCAAGUUUCUCCACAGUCUCCAUCUUCGAUUUUCCCAUGUUGGAUCCGCCCAGUAAUGGGCCAUUAAAGAUCCAUUUCAACGUUGGAAGCAGAGGAUGGUUACCGUGCUAGUGGGGAAAGUCAGAGGUUUCUGAACUGGUAAGCCAAGAUAAAAGAAACAAUAUAUUGUGUUAAAGCAUUGUGUGGUGCUGGGAACUGGGGAAAAAUAGCUUGGAACCAGAAUAUUCUGGUAAGCCAAGUGCAAAUAUUGUUUUGAGACAGUGUAUGGUGCCGGGGAACCGGGGAUUAAAUACAACUUGGAACCAGUAUAUUGAGAGAGGAGAAACACACAA